GAAAAAAAUAAUUGAAGCUGCUAACUUUGAUAGGGGGAUUUCUCCUUUUUUCU
rnacentral:tRNA from 1 species